UACGAAGGGUGCUAGCGUUGUUCGGAAUUACUGGGCGUAAAGCGUGCGUAGGCGGUUUAGCAAGUCGAUUGUGAAAGCCCAGGGCUCAACCCUGGAAUUGCAAUCGAAACUACUUUACUAGAGUGUGGUGGGGGAUAGUAGAAUUCCUAGUGUAGGGGUGGAAUCCGUAGAUAUUAGGAGGAAUACCAGUGGCGAAGGCGACUAUCUACACCAAUACUGACGCUGAGGCACGAAAGCGUGGGGAGCAAACAGG
rnacentral:rRNA from 1 species